AAGAAAGUACGCAAGAACUGCUAACUCAUGCCACCAUACCUAAAAUAUGGCUUUCUU
rnacentral:tRNA from 1 species